rnacentral:rRNA from 1 species
AUUGAACGCUGGCGGCAGGCUUAACACAUGCAAGUCGAGCGGAGAUGAGGUGCUUGCACCUUAUCUUAGCGGCGGACGGGUGAGUAAUGCUUAGGAAUCUGCCUAUUAGUGGGGGACAACAUUCCGAAAGGAAUGCUAAUACCGCAUACGCCCUACGGGGGAAAGCAGGGGAUCUUCGGACCUUGCGCUAAUAGAUGAGCCUAAGUCGGAUUAGCGAGUUGGUGGGGUAAAGGCCUACCAAGGCGACGAUCUGUAGCGGGUCUGAGAGGAUGAUCAGCCACACUGGGACUGAGACACGGCCCAGACUCCUACGGGAGGCAGGAGUGGGGAAUAUUGGACAAUGGGCGGAAGCCUGAUCCAGCCAUGCCGCGUGUGUGAAGAAGGCCUUUUGGUUGUAAAGCACUUUAAGCGAGGAGGAGGCUACCUGGAUUAAUACUCUAGGAUAGUGGACGUUACUCGCAGAAUAAGCACCGGCUAACUCUGUGCCAGCCGCCGCGGUAAAAC